GACUGCCGUUGACAAAACGGAGGAAGGUGGGGAUGACGUCAAAUCAUCAUGCCCUUUAUGACCUGGGCUACACACGUACUACAAUGGCGCUUAACAAAGAGAAGCGAGAUCGCGAGAUGGAGCAAACCUCACAAACAGCGUCCCAGUUCAGAUUGCAGGCUGCAACUCGCCUGCAUGAAGUCGGAAUUGCUAGUAAUCGUGGAUCAGCAUGCCACGGUGAAUACGUUCCCGGGCCUUGUACACACCGCCCGUCACACCAUGAGAGCCGGGGGGACCCGAAGUCCGUAGUCUAACCGCAAGGAGGGCGCGGCCGAAGGUAAAACUGGUGAUUGGGGUGAAGUCGUAACAAGGUAGCCGUAUCGGAAGGUGCGGCUGGAUCACCUCCUUU
rnacentral:rRNA from 1 species